GGUCCCGCCUCAUAAGGAGCCAGGCCCCGCCCCUAACGAGGCAGGCCGCACCCCCGACCUGGGAAUUGAGGAGUACCGCCCGGGAAGGAGUGAGUGGACCGUUCCCGGGCUGGGACGCUGGAUUUGGGGGGACCUGUGAAUCCAGCUAGCGGCCCCAGUUUUUCCACCUGAAAUGGAAUGAAAUAUUAAAGGGCGUGGCAACAUUGGAGAUGGUGCAGCUGGCAUCCGGCCCGCCGGCUGCAGGAGCUGGGCAGUCGGGCAGAGGAGGUACCUGGGGCGUGGAAGUGGCCACAGCGCAAUGACCAUCCCUGCCUGUCCCUAUGGCGCCCCGCUCCCAUGGUUCAGCCUUCUGAUUUCAUCUUGCACCAAAUGAGCCCCUGGGCGCUCAGCCAGCGGAUGUUCCGCAGCCUCUUGCCGCGUGGGAGAGCCUUGGACUCGCGCAAACGCCUCCAAUAGGACGCCAAGAAUGUGUCCAUUCUCCUCUCCCCGGCCAUCAGCGCUCUCGGCCAGUCCAACCUGCUCUCCGCGGAAACAGUCAGCACCAACCUCACUCUGUAAGAGGCAGCUGGGCCCAGGUGGACCUUCUCCACUUCACUCCCACCCCUACCCUGCGCUCCUGUCGGGGUGGGGAGCUGGCAGCAUGGGUGUGUGUGGGGGGAGUGGACACUGCUGAGGGUGUCUAGGUGAGGAAGAGACGCCUCCAGGAAGGUUCUCAGAGUGAGCCCCAGGAGGCUGCAUUAGCUCGCAGACUUCUGUGCCAACUUGUGUCUGCUCUCAGCCCUUUGCCAAUUUGGGAUACUUGGGUCUGGGGACCUGUGGGGGCCUUCCUGCUCCUCUCCUGGAUCCCUCUCCCCCUCCCUCACCCCUGACCCCCACUCUCCUGUCCACAACUGGUUGCUGAGUACAGUGAGCUGCCCCCGAAACUCGCUAAUGACCUUGCUGACUGGUGUGUCCAUGGCUGUAGUCUAUGUAGCUGGCAUCGCUGUAAUGAAGUUCUAAAAUUUGAGAGGUGUUGACUGGUUAUGCUGGACAUUCUCAACAUCCUGUGGAUGUAAAUCAUCGUGCUGUCCAGGGCCUGAGACAGGGGAACCCUCAUGCUCCAGAGCAGAGUGUGGGAAGGGAUUGAAGAGAUGUGCAAGAGCUUCCCUCAACCGUGCUACAGACUUGGGCCAGGGCCACAGUGGGGGAGGUUGUCCCUGGGAGCCUGAGGCUGUGCCCACCCCACCAGGAGAAGGCUUAGACUCACUCAACAGGUAUUUAUUGAGUGCCCCCUUUGUACCAGGCACUGUUCAAAGCAUUGAGGAACAGGAGUGAGCAAAAAAAGAUUCCUGACCGUGGGGAGCUGGCAUUCUAGUGGAGGAGAUGGACAAAAGACCCAUGUUCUAUAGAAAUAUUUUACAACUAUUCGUAGCUUGAAAAAAAUUAAGUACAACUUCAAAACUGUUUAGGAUAUGACUUUGUCUAUCAUCUUGUUAACCUUAAUCUAUUUUGAACUUGGAACAUGUGACCUUUUGAAAUGAACAGCAUUUUCUUU